GACGUACCGUGCGAACGUUAUUCGGAAUCACUGGGCUUAAAGGGCGCGUAGGCGGCCUCUGCAAGUCGACUGUGAAAUCUCCGGGCUUAACCCGGAAAGGUCAGCCGAUACUGCAGGGCUAGAGUGCAGAAGGGGCAACUGGAAUUCUCGGUGUAGCGGUGAAAUGCGUAGAUAUCGAGAGGAACACCUGCGGCGAAGGCGGGUUGCUGGGCUGACACUGACGCUGAGGCGCGAAAGCUAGGGGAGCGAACGGG
rnacentral:rRNA from 1 species